rnacentral:rRNA from 1 species
AGAGUUUGAUCCUGGCUCAGGAUGAACGCUGGCGGCGUGCCUAAUACAUGCAAGUCGAGCGAACAGACGAGGAGCUUGCUCCUUUGAUGUUAGCGGCGGACGGGUGAGUAACACGUAGGUAACCUACCUAUAAGACUGGGAUAACUUCGGGAAACCGGAGCUAAUACCGGAUAAUAUUUCGAACCGCAUGGUUCGAUAGUGAAAGAUGGCUUUGCUAUCACUUAUAGAUGGACCUGCGCCGUAUUAGCUAGUUGGUAAGGUAACGGCUUACCAAGGCAACGAUACGUAGCCGACCUGAGAGGGUGAUCGGCCACACUGGAACUGAGACACGGCCCAGACUCCUACGGGAGGCAGCAGUAGGGAAUCUUCCGCAAUGGGCGAAAGCCUGACGGAGCAACGCCGUGUGAGUGAUGAAGGUCUUCGGAUCGUAAAACUCUGUUAUUAGGGAAGAACAAACGUGUAAGUAACUGUGCACGUCUUGACGGUACCUAAUCAGAAAGCCACGGCUAACUACGUGCCAGCAGCCGCGGUAAUACGUAGGUGGCAAGCGUUAUCCGGAAUUAUUGGGCGUAAAGCGCGCGUAGGCGGUUUUUUAAGUCUGAUGUGAAAGCCCACGGCUCAACCGUGGAGGGUCAUUGGAAACUGGAAAACUUGAGUGCAGAAGAGGAAAGUGGAUUUCCAUGUGUAGCGGUGAAAAUGCGCAGAGAUAUGGAGGAACACCAGUGGCGAGGCGACUUUCUGGUCUGUAACUGACGCUGAUGUGCGAAAGCGUGGGGAUCAACAGGAUUAGAUACCCUGGUAGUCCACCGCCGUAAACGAUGAGUGCUAAGUUGUUAGGGGGGUCUCCCGCCCCCUUA